UUAUUUUGAGUUUGGAUAUUGUCUACGAGACAAUAUUGAUAUUAAAACUCACAAACUAUGUUUGUCGACAGUUCAAUAGUUGUAUAAAUGAAGUUUGUAUUUAAAUUAUGUACCAUGUAUUUGACGACUCAGAAUGAGUUGUGUAGGCCUAUUUUGGGGGCGUCAUAAUGUUUAUAUACAAGAAAGUUACUAGUGGAUUUGGGUCCCAAGGGUCACUCCACUCUUGUGGAAGGGAAAAAACCUAGCUCGGCUUGUCUCGAACUCGUUGGUCUAUGUCCAUUUUUCAUACUAUUUUGGACACAAAUUGAUAUAAGUUUAAUUGACCCAUUUUCCUAUUAUCCACGACGACGUCCCAUGGAUGGAUCACGCCGACUAGGGCCUUACACCUGAAACAUCAUUAGCAGAUACGUUUCUAAAAUUCGUCGAUUGCUCCACGAAAAGAUUUGUUGAACAAAAAUUGCAAAUAAAAAAGUUCAAGAUUGUGAUUGACGUACUUGAAUCUGAAUUAUCCAUGAAAAGAUUUGUUGAACAAAAAUUGCAAGUGAAAAAGUUGAAGAUUGUGAUUGACGUACUUGAAUCUGAAUCAUCGUAAGGAUCUUUAAUUGGCCAAACUAUAAUUUGCUCCAAAGAAUCUUUGGUGCUACAACAACAAUUUAAUUCUUCAAAUAGUACUUACAUAGAAGAUGCACCACCCAAGUUGAAGAACCAAAUCACCAAUUUAAGAAAAUUAUCUAUUUCGAGAGCCCAUACUUAGAUGAGCAGUUGAUGCUUUGUAUAUAUUAUUGCUAGCUGCCCCUAUAUUCAAUAGUUCGUACGUGCUCGAUUUGUCAUCAAGGCAUCAAAUUUUUUGAAAUUUUGGGAGUCAAUUAUUUGGAAAAACUUGAAUUUGAUGGGCUUAAUAUUGAGAAUGUUGAUGCACCGAAGUUCAUCUAC
rnacentral:lncRNA from 1 species